rnacentral:rRNA from 1 species
UACAGAGGGUGCAAGCGUUAUCCGGAUUUAUUGGGCGUAAAGCGUUUCGUAGGCGGUUUGGAAAGUUACUCUUCAAAGACCACGGCUUAACCGGGGGAAGGGGAGUAAUACUACCAGACUUGAAAGAAUGUGGGGCUUCUGGAACUGAUGGUGUAGUAGUGAAAUACGUUGAUAUCAUCAGGAACUCCGAGGGCGAAGGCAGGAAGCUAACUAAACUUUGACGCUGAGGAACGAAAGCUAGGGGA